AUGGAGCCCCCACCCAAAAUGCUUGCCUCUCUCAAGAUAACCAUACUGAUGAUGAUGAUGGCCUCCUCUGUCGCACUUGCGUCGGUAGCAGCGGUGCCCGGAGGACAAGCAAGAGCGCUCCUCGUCUGGAAAGCAAGCCUCGACAACCAAAGCCAGCAUGCCCUGCGCUCCUGGGGAAACAUGUCAUCGCCCUGCAAUUGGCGCGGCAUCACUUGCGGUACCGAUGUGCAUCGGCGCCGGCGGCGGCCGGUGAUCAGUGGCAUCUCUCUGCGCGAGAUGCGACUAGGUGGGACGCUGGAGUCCCUCAAUUUCUCAUCCUUGAGGACCCUGACACGCCUCGACCUCUCGCACAACCACAUUGCUAGGAGCAUUCCACCCAGUAUUGAGGUCCUCGGAGAGCUCCGCGCUCUCCUUCUGCAAGGCAACCAGAUAAGAGGCUCAAUCCCACUAGGUCUAGGAAAUCUCACAAAAUUGCGCGUCUUAAUGCUUCAUGAAAAUGAAGUCUCCGGUGAAAUACCAAUGCAUAUAGGCGAUAUGAGUAAUCUUGAGACGCUCAACUUCUCAAUCAAUCACUUAGUUGGUCAUAUCCCUUCUGAAGUAGGCCACCUAAAGCGCUUGGUUAGAUUAGAUUUAUCUAACAAUAAUCUUUCUGGGCAAAUUCCACGAGAACUAAGUUGGUUAUUGCAGUUGGAGAUCUUAGAUCUCGAUAGCAACAUGCUAAUAGGUUCCAUCCCAAAUAGCUUAGGAAAUUUGACAAACCUCACAACCUUGUACCUUCGUGGUAACCAACUUUCUAGGCAAAUUCCAAGAGAACUAAGUUGGUUAUUGCAGUUGGAGAUCUUAAAUCUCGAUAGCAACAUGCUAAUAGGUUCCAUCCCAAAUAGCUUAGGAAAUUUGACAAACCUCACAACCUUGUACCUUCAUGGUAACCAACUUUCUGGGCAAAUUCCACAAGAACUAGGUUAUCUUGAGAACUUAGAGAAGUUCUCGCUUUGGUACAACACACUAACAGGUUUCAUCCCAAACAACAUAGGAAAUUUGACAAAACUCACUAUCUUAUAUCUUCAAGAAAACCAAAUUUCUAGACACAUCCCUCAAGAACUAGGUCGCCUUGUGAACUUAGAGGAUUUGAAGCUUGGUAGUAACGCACUAACUGGUCCCAUCCCAAAUUGCCUAGAUAAUUUGACCAAACUCACAAUCUGGGAUAUUUACGACAACCAACUUUCUGGACACAUCCCUCGAGAACUAGGUUAUCUUGAGAACUUAGAGGAGUUGUGGCUUUGCGACAACACACUAACAGGUUCCAUCCCAUACAGCAUAGGAAAUUUGACAAAACUCACAGCCUUGUAUCUUUACAGCAACCGACUUUCUGGACACAUCCCUCGAGAACUAGGUCACCUGGAGAACUUAGAGGACUUGGAGCUUAGCAACAACGCACUAGCAGGUUCCAUCCCAAACAGCCUAGGAAAUUUGACCAAACUCACAUCCUUGUGUCUUGACAGCAACCAACUUUCUGGACACAUCCCUCUAGAACUAGGCUACCUUGAGAACUUAGUGGACUUGAAUCUUAGAAACAAUACACUAACAGGUUCCAUCCCAAACGGCCUAGGAAAUUUGACCAACUUCUCAACCUUGUAUCUUGACAGCAACCAACUUUCUGGACAUAUCCCUCGAGAACUAGGUUAUCUUGAGUACUUAGAGGAGUUGGUGCUUAGCGACAACCAACUUUUUGGCCACAUUCCCCGAGAAUUAGGUUAUUCAGUCAACUUAGAGUACUUGUCUCUUAGAAAUAAUUCACUAACAGGUCCCAUCCCAAAUAGCCUUGGCAAUCUGACACAUCUUUAUAAAUUGGACUUUGGCCAGAACCAACUUUCUGGGCAAAUUUCAUGA
rnacentral:rRNA from 1 species